AACCUCCGCAAUGUGAGAAAUCGCGACGGGGGGAUCCCAAGUGCCAUUCUUAACGGGAUGGCUUUUCUUAAGUGUAAAAAGCUUUUGGAAUAAGAGCUGGGCAAGACCGGUGCCAGCCGCCGCGGUAACACCGGCAGCUCUAGUGGUAGCUGUUUUUAUUGGGCCUAAAGCGUUCGUAGCCGGUUUGAUAAGUCACUGGUGAAAUCCUGUAGCUUAACUGUGGGAAUUGUUGGUGAUACUGUUGAACUUGAGGUCGGGAGAGGUUAGCGGUACUCCCAGGGUAGAGGUGAAAUUCUGUAAUCCUGGGAGGACCACCUGUGGCGAAGGCGGCUAACUGGAACGAACCUGACGGUGAGGGACGAAAGCUAGGGGCGCGAACCGGAUUAGAUACCCGGGUAGUCCUAGCCGUAAACGAUGCGGACUUGGUGUUGGGAUGGCUUUGAGCCGCUCCGGUGCCGAAGGGAAGCUGUAAGUCCGCCGCCUGGGAAGUACGGUCGCAAGACUGAAACUUAAAGGAAUU
rnacentral:rRNA from 1 species